UUUAAAGAGAGUUUGAUCCUGGCUCAGGACGAACGCUGGCGGCGUGCCUAAUACAUGCAAGUCGGACGAACGGAGGAAGAGCUUGCUCUUCCAAAGUUAGUGGCGGACGGGUGAGUAACACGUGGGCAACCUGCCUGUAAGU
rnacentral:rRNA from 1 species